rnacentral:lncRNA from 1 species
UUGGUGUCAUGAGUCUUCCCAGGGCUAGGCUUCAAUACUACAAUCCGAGUUGGCUGAGAGGGAUAUUCUUCAAACCGUUGAUUGGCAAAAGUAGGCGAAUAGCCAGAGUUACUUUUUUCCCACACAGUAGCUUGACCGGUCUGUUCAGGUUUCUUAGCCUGUUUAUCACACUUCUUCCCCAGUCCUGCAAACUUUUCAUUAUUAAUUACCUUAGAAGGUCUAAGAACAGUGAUGCGUUUUGUCUCAGGUGGAGGAAUAGGCUGCAUAUCAUAAAGAUGUGGAGAGAACAUGGAAUUAGGUUCUUCCAGAAACUUCAGGAGAAGAUCUCUAUUGGAACUUAAAACUUCCAAUGCAUCUUGGAAUUCUCGAGACUGGCAGCCUUUCUCAUCUGUGGC